rnacentral:rRNA from 1 species
AACGAACGCUGGCGGCAUGCCUAACACAUGCAAGUCGAACGAGACCUUCGGGUCUAGUGGCGCACGGGUGCGUAACACGUGGGAAUUUGCCUCGGGGUAUGGAAUAACUCAGGGAAACUUGAGCUAAUACCAUAUAAUGUCUUCGGACCAAAGAUUUAUCGCCCUGAGAUAAGCCCGCGUAGGAUUAGCUAGUUGGUGGGUAAAGGCUCACCAAGGCGACGAUCCUUAGCUGGUCUGAGAGGAUGAUCAGCCACACUGGGACUGAGACACGGCCCAGACUCCUACGGGAGGCAGCAGUGGGGAAUAUUGGACAAUGGGCGAAAGCCUGAUCCAGCAAUGCCGCGUGAGUGAUGAAGGCCUUAGGGUUGUAAAGCUCUUUUACCCGGGAUGAUAAUGACAGUACCGGGAGAAUAAGCUCCGGC